rnacentral:rRNA from 1 species
CCUACGGGUGGCAGCAGUGGGGAAUAUUGGACAAUGGGCGAAAGCCUGAUCCAGCAAUACCGCGUGUGUGAAGAAGGCCUGAGGGUUGUAAAGCACUUUCAAUAGGAAGGAAUACCUAUCGGUUAAUACCCGGUAGACUGACAUUACCUAUACAAGAAGCACCGGCUAACUCCGUGCCAGCAGCCGCGGUAAUACGGAGGGUGCAAGCGUUAAUCGGAAUUACUGGGCGUAAAGCGUGCGUAGGCGGUUAUUUAAGUCAGAUGUGAAAGCCCUGGGCUUAACCUGGGAACUGCAUUUGAUACUGGAUGACUAGAGUUGAGUAGAGGAGAGUGGAAUUUCAGGUGUAGCGGUGAAAUGCGUAGAGAUCUGAAGGAACACCAGUGGCGAAGGCGGCUCUCUGGACUCAAACUGACGCUGAGGUACGAAAGCGUGGGUAGCAAACAGGAUUAGAUACCCUUGUAGUC